rnacentral:rRNA from 1 species
UAAGCGGAGGAAAAGAAACUAACAAGGAUUCCCUUAGUAACUGCGAGUGAAGUGGGAAAAGCUCAAAUUUUAAAUCUGACAGUUUUUAACUGUUCGAAUUGUAAUCUAGAGAAGUAUUAUCUGUUUUGGACCAUAUAUAAGUCUCCUGGAAUGGGGCAUCAUAGAGGGUGAGAAUCCCGUCUUUGAUAUGGACUACCAGAACAUUAUGAAUAUGCUCUCAACGAGUCGAGUUGUUUGGGAAUGCAGCUCUAAAUGGGUGGUAAAUUCCAUCUAAAGCUAAAUAUUGGCAAGAGACCGAUAGCGAACAAGUACCGUGAGGGAAAGAUGAAAAGAACUUUGGAAAGAGAGUUAAACAGUACGUGAAAUUGUUGAAAGGGAAACACUUAAAGUCAGCUACAUUAGUUAGAAAUCAAUCUUGCUUUUAGCUUGAUGUAUUUUCUAAUUAAUAAGUCAGCAUCAAUUUUAAUCAGUGGAAAAGGACAAGAGAAAUGUGGCAUCUUUGGAUGUGUUAUAGUCUUUUGUUAUAUACAUUGAUUGGAAUUGAGGAUCUCAGCAUGCCAUAAUGGCCGGGUUUUAAUCACGUUCAUGCUUAGGAUGCUGGCAUAAUGGCUUUAAUUGACCCGU